rnacentral:rRNA from 1 species
ACAUCUUCUCUUGAUUUUAUAAUAUGAGAUUUGACCUGCCCUAUGAUUUAUUUAAUGGCCGCGGUAUUUUGACCGUGCAAAGGUAGCAUAAUCAUUAGUCUAUUAAUUGUGGACUUGUAUGAAUGGUUGGACGAAAUAUUGACUGUCUCAUUGUUAAUUUAUUUUGAAAUUAAAUUUUUAGUUAAAAUGCUUAAAUUUUUUUAUAGGACGAGAAGACCCUAUAGAUCUUUAUUUGUUUAUUUGUUGAUUUAUUUUAGAUUAUUUAUUUUUAAUAAUUUUUCAUUUUUUGUUGGGGUGACAUGGAGAUAUAUUAAACUCUUUAUUUUAUUAUACAUUUAUUUUUGUUUUAUUGACCUUGUAAUAUUGUUUUAAGAUAUAGAUACCUUAGGGAUAACAGCGUAAUUCUUUUUGAGAGCUCAAAUCGACAGAAGAGAUUGCGACCUCGAUGUUGGAUUAAGAUUAUAAUUAGGUGUAGAUGUUUAAUUAUUGGGUCUGUUCGACCUUUAAAUUCUUACAUGAUCUGAGUUAAA